rnacentral:rRNA from 1 species
UACGUAGGGGGCAAGCGUUAUCCGGAUUUACUGGGCGUAAAGCGAGCGCAGGUGGUUUCUUAAGUCUGAUGUGAAAGCCAACGGCUCAACCGUGGAAGGUCAUUGGAAACUGGGGAACUUGAAUGCAGAAGAGGAGAGUGGAAUUCCAUGUGUAGCGGUGAAAUGCGUAGAUAUAUGGAGGAACACCAGUGGCGAAGGCGACUCUCUGGUCUGUUAUUGACACUGAGGCUCGAAAGCGUGGGGAGCAAACAGGAUUAGAUA